rnacentral:hammerhead_ribozyme from 1 species
AUCAAGCUGACGAGUCCCGAAUAGGACAAAACGCGCGUUUCAGAU